UACGGAGGGUGCGAGCGUUGUCCGGAAUCACUGGGCGUAAAGGGCGCGUAGGCGGCGCCCCAAGUCGGUGGUGAAAGCCCGUGGCUCAACUGCGGGUCGGCCACCGAUACUGGGGGGCUGGAGCACGGUAGAGGCAGGUGGAAUUCCUGGUGUAGCGGUGAAAUGCGUAGAUAUCAGGAGGAACACCUGCGGUGUAGACGGCUAUCUGGACGGUUACUGACGCUGAGACACGAAAGCGUGGGUAGCAAACAGG
rnacentral:rRNA from 1 species